UUCAAGCGUAAUGUGCUGUCGUCUGCAUUUUGGUUCUGUCUCCCCCUCCCCUCCCUCUCCUCCUAACAGCCCGGGCGCAUUAUGGUGCAAUAAUGACGAACUCCAGUCAGUGAAAUAUUCCCGGAGAUUAAUUCUGAGAGCUAAAAAUAAUGUUGAAAAUAAUGUGUUUUUAGAAUUUUCUAACGACAAGGAUUAUCUGAAAUUUUAGGAGUAUUAUCAGUAUUGGAUACGGACAUCGAAUUGGAUGUGAUAUUUUUGUGUCGAGUGUUUAAACAAAAAAAAAUUGUAUAGUGUCAUAACUUUAAGGUUAGGUCUUCCGUGGAUGUUAUAAAACUACAACUUAAAAACAAAGAAACAAAAAACUCAAGAGAGUGAACAAGGACAAACAUGAUCCAACGGCACUGGGUGAGCACACAUUUCAAGCUUUGGAUCCUCACGUGCAUCACUGGGCUACUGCUGACCGGCUCAAAGGGUCAAGUCACAGAGUGGGGUUCUUGGAGCGGCUACACAGAAUGUUCUAGAACAUGCGGGAGUGGCGUCCAAGUUCGAUCAAGAGUUUGUCUAGUGAGAAGGCAAGUGGAUGGUGCAUGUCAAGGGGACAACACACAAGCGCGCUCAUGUAAUACAGAGCCCUGUCCGGCGGGAACAGUGGACUUCAGGACAGCCCAGUGCAGCUCCUUCAACGGCGUCCCCAUCAAGGUCAAUGACGUCACGAAGGAAUUCUCGUGGAGGCCAUAUUUCGAUGCCUCCAGACCGUGUGCCCUGGUGUGUCGCAGCAACAAGGGUGACGUCAUGACCCUGAGAGAGACGGUGGCAGACGGUACCAGCUGUGACCACAUCGACACGAUGGGGGUCUGUGUGGGGGGCGUCUGUAAGAAUAUCGGCUGUGACAGGGUGCUGGGGUCAACUGUCAACGAGGACAACUGUCUGGUCUGUGGGGGUCAAGACAAGAAAUGUCACACGGAGGAGGGGUCAACGCUCAACGUCGACUUCACAAACGGUGAGUGGAAGGAGGUAGUGACGUUUCCCCUGGAGGCGACCCGACUGGCCAUCACCAUCCUGUCUACACCCCCCAGCGCGUUAGAAUUACGAUCAGACGAUGGUCAGUCGAUUGAGCUGACUCAGCUCAUGUCCGGUUCUAGCAAGGCCGCGGUCGAGUUCGCCGGAACCCGCUUCAUUUACCACACGGAGGAGGACGAGUCAAAGUUCACGGCCAGGGGCCCCAUCAAUCAAACUCUGUACUUAAAGCUUCUGUUUAACCGCCAAAAUCCGCUAGUCCAGUAUCGAUACUCCAUACCCAGGUCUCGAUACAUCGAGGCGGAUGCACAAGACCGCUACGCCUGGCUGCACGGGAGCUGGUCUCUGUGUUCGGCCAACUGUGGAGUUGGUAAGGCUUCCAGCUCCGUGCCGUACGCUGCAUCGACCGUGUGACUGGUCAGUAUGUCAACCAGACCCUGUGUCCAUCUGACGAGGUCCCCAUCAGCAACCAGACCUGCAACAACGGACCCUGCUACAUCUCAGUAGAGGAUCGCUUCAAGUGGAUGGCGGACCACUUUGACGAGUGUAGCGUGGAGUGUGGGCUGGGUGAGCAGAUGCAGAUCUACGUGUGCACGGAGACGGGGCUGGAGGGUAGCUCGAGUGUCGUGGAG